ACUGUUGCUGGCUCUUAGGAGUAAUUGUGCACGUCUAGCGUGUUUUUCUUUAACCCACCUGUGAACCUUUUGUAGAUUUGAAAAACAUCACCUUGUCGAUAACAUUCGGUUAGAAGAUUGCAAUGCGCAAGUUUGCUCUCUUUGAAUGUUUUUCAAUCUAUGUAUUUAUUAUAAACUCUAAAAACAAACAUAGAAUGUAUAACUAUUGGCCUUUAGUGCCUUUAAUCUAAAAUACAACUUUCAACAACGGAUCUCUUGGCUCUCGCAUCGAUGAAGAACGCAGCGAAAUGCGAUAAGUAAUGUGAAUUGCAGAAUUCAGUGAAUCAUCGAAUCUUUGAACGCACCUUGCGCUCCUUGGUAUUCCGAGGAGCAUGCCUGUUUGAGUGUCAUUAAAUUAAAUCAAACCUUUGUUGUUUUAUAUAACAAAAGUUUGGAAUGUGGAGGUUUUUGUAGGCUUUCUUAAAGUCUGCUCCUCUUAAAAGCAUUAGCGAAAAUCUUUGUGAGCAAAUUUUCCUGGUGUGAUAAUUAUCUACGCCAUGGCUUGAUCACAUUAAAGAACUUUUUUUGCUUCUAAUCGUCGUCAUUUGACGACAACUAUUGAACAAUUUGACCUCAAAUCAG
rnacentral:rRNA from 1 species